AUGGGUAUAGCUCAGUGGUAGAGCACAUGCUUAGCAUGCACGAGGUCCUGUGUUCAAUCCCCAGUACUGCUG
rnacentral:tRNA from 1 species